CAGGACAAACUCUUCCAAACGAUAAUAGGGAAUCUCUUGUCCUUGUGUUACCAACUGGUGCAAAGGUCAGGUAGGAUCAAAUCCAGGGGUGUCGAUGCUGAUGGAUCCCCAGGUGGUGAAGAUCAUACACAGAGAGGACAGCCCUGCCUGUCUGGCCCAGCAGUCAUUCCUAGGGGGACAGCUCCAGACAGCCUUGAAAUCAGAGCCUAUUGUUGCUCAGAAGUGUUGGGUCCCACGUGCCCAGACUCACACCAUCAGUUUGGCAAGUUCAUUUUAUUUUCAUUCAUUUAAUCGCUUCUGUCAGCUGUUUGUUUUACGAGGAGUUAGUUUCAUUAGCGCUACCAAAGCCCACGUGCUAACCCAGCGCACUGGAGCCUCAGGCUGAUAUCAGUUUUUCCUCCAGUGUAUCAGGCAGAGCAGAAAGCAUAUAAAGCCCUCCUGGCAUGUGCUGCCCAGCAUGGACUAGCAAGUUCAUUAAGCCUUCAUCUGUAACCGUGUCACUUCCUUAGGUAAAAGCUACUGCUGGCUCCCUGUUGGUCUGCAGGAAAUGCCAAGCUCAUGGGCGUGACACAGUCUGGCCCUCGCUGCCCUGGCAGGUGCCUCUCCAGCUGCCCGUCUGGACCUCCUCUCCACACAAGGGCUAGCAACCUACCCCACCUGAAGCUGCAGGAACGAACCAUACACUCUCUGGGCUCUGUUCUUUGUUCAUGCUUUUCUCUCACGUUGGAGCGACGGUUCUCAUUGCCUGACCCCCUUUGCUUAUCUCUGCUCAGCAACCUCCUAUGCACUCGCCAAAGCCCAGCUCGAAUGCCCACGCUCCUCAGUAACGUUCCCUGGCUUCCUCCUUUCCUUUAGGUUAGAAUGCAUGGGCAGACAGCAGCUGCCAUCAGCAUCCCACCCUCCUCUCCUUGGCGCUUACCAUGUUUGUCUAUGCCACCAUGACUUCUGAUUGCCAGCGCCCACGGUCCUUUAUCUGGGGACUUUCUCUGUUGGCCCUCUCUGCCCAUGAACAGGGUAGAUUGUGCCAGGCAUUAUGUCUGUAGAGCAGCUGAUGGUCCCUCAGCCUCUGGGUGGGUUCUUUCUGAGGUGCAUAUUCUACAGUGACCCCCAAAGGUUUCCAGUGGAACCCGAAUCUGCUGUCCACAGUAGAAACUAGUAAUAGUGCCCUGGAGGCUCCCUAACCUUCCCUGCGGGGCUUUCCCAAUUUUACAUCAAUGACUUACAUCAAUCACUUCCCAAAUAAUCUCUUUGUAGCUGAAUCUUUGCUUGCAGGGUCUGCUUCUGGGGGAAUCCCAACUAAAGCCAACCUCAUCUGACUGUGUGGGUUCUCUGUAAGUCUAUCACCGUCCCUAGUGUAUUAUAUUUGUGCUGCCUCCACCAUGACCUCCAUGAGGACAGGAACCCUCAGCGUGCCCAGGCUUAGUGCAGUGCCUAGAGCUCACUGGGUGCUCAUCCUCUAGUCGAUGAUCUUGGAGUCACCUUCCUAAUUCUGAAGUGUUUUAAGUUCUCACGGAGCUGGUCGAGCUUAAGCGUCCUUCUUGCACCAACGAGUGGAAUGGCCAGAUCACUUUGGCAUCUUUGCCCACUGUGGACUCCGCC
rnacentral:lncRNA from 1 species